rnacentral:rRNA from 1 species
AACGAACGCUGGCGGCAGGCCUAACACAUGCAAGUCGAGCGCCGCAGCAAUACGGAGCGGCAGACGGGAGAGUAACACGUGGGAACGUGCCCUUCAGUUCGGAACAACCCAGGGAAACUUGGGCUAAUACCGGAUACGUCCGUAAGGAGAAAGAUUUAUCGCUGAAGGAUCGGCCCGCGUCUGAUUAGCUAGUUGGUGGGGUAACGGCCCACCAAGGCGACGAUCAGUAGCUGGUCUGAGAGGAUGAUCAGCCUCACUGGGACUGAGACACGGACCAGACUCCUACGGGAGGCAGCAGUGGGGAAUAUUGGACAAUGGGCGCAAGCCUGAUCCAGCCAUGCCGCGUGGGUGAUGAAGGCCCUAGGGUUGUAAAGCCCUUUCGGCGGGGAAGAUAAUGACGGUACCCGCAGAAGAAGCCCCGGCUAACUUCGUGCCAGCCGCCGCGGUAAUAC